rnacentral:lncRNA from 1 species
AGUCAUUUAAAGUACGAAUACUACCAUUGUCAAGACCCAUGUACCAACGAAGAGCGACACCGAUCAAGCUGUCUUGGAAAUAAUGAAUGAGAAACUGAUCAUUGUCUGUUUGGGUUGACAUCUUGCGGGCAUACAUCACAAGAUGGAUUAAAGGAAAGGUGUUCCCCUUGUAUUUCUCUAAAUCAGGGACCUUGAACUUAAUAGGGAUCUUCACAUUAG